CCAGGAUAUAGAGAGGAAGUGGGAAGUUUCCCUGGACUCAGCAGAAAUUUGGUGUCAGAAGCAGAAAUAGCCCCUUAUUUAAUGACAUCACCUUGGCCAAGAUUCAGGAAUUCAGAACUCUAAGUUACCCUGAACUAUCUAAAAACGAAAAUGGAAAGAUAAUUCUGCUUCAUGUCUGGUGUACUCCAACUGCGGAUAAGGGUACGUAGAGAAUGUCUAUUAUUUUGAGUAGUUGAGUUAAAAAUAAAACUCCUAACACCAGUGAGGAAAUUGGAUUCCACAUUCUCUUA
ensembl:lincRNA